GCCGUCUUGGCCUAGUGGUUAAGGCAAUGCCUUGUCAAGGCAGGGAUCACGGGUUCGAAUCCCGUAGGCGGCG
rnacentral:tRNA from 1 species